rnacentral:rRNA from 1 species
ACUAACUGGAGGACCGAACCGACUAAUGUUGAAAAAUUAGCGGAUGACCUGUGGCUGGGGGUGAAAGGCCAAUCAAACCGGGAGAUAGCUGGUUCUCCCCGAAAGCUAUUUAGGUAGCGCCUCGUGAAUUCAUCUCCGGGGGUAGAGCACUGUUUCGGCUAGGGGGCCAUCCCGGCUUACCAACCCGAUGCAAACUGCGAAUACCGGAGAAUGUUAUCACGGGAGACACACGGCGGGUGCUAACGUCCGUCGUGAAGAGGGAAACAACCCAGACCGCCAGCUAAGGUCCCAAAGUCAUGGUUAAGUGGGAAACGAUGUGGGAAGGCCCAGACAGCCAGGAUGUUGGCUUAGAAGCAGCCAUCAUUUAAAGAAAGCGUAAUAGCUCACUGGUCGAGUCGGCCUGCGCGGAAGAUGUAACGGGGCUAAACCAUGCACCGAAGCUGCGGCAGCGACACUGUGUGUUGUUGGGUAGGGGAGCGUUCUGUAAGCCUGUGAAGGUGUGUCGUGAGGCAUGCUGGAGGUAUCAGAAGUGCGAAUGCUGACAUAAGUAAC